rnacentral:tRNA from 1 species
GGCUGGAUAGCUCAGUUGGUAGAGCACCGGAACGACAAUCCGGAGGCCGCAGGUUCAAACCCCACUCCAGUCC